CCUACGGGGGGCAGCAGUGAGGAAUAUUGGUCAAUGGGCGCGAGCCUGAACCAGCCAAGUAGCGUGAAGGAUGACUGCCCUACGGGUUGUAAACUUCUUUUAUAAAGGAAUAAAGUGAGGCACGUGUGCCUUUUUGUAUGUACUUUAUGAAUAAGGAUCGGCUAACUCCGUGCCAGCAGCCGCGGUAAUACGGAGGAUCCGAGCGUUAUCCGGAUUUAUUGGGUUUAAAGGGAGCGUAGAUGGGUUGUUAAGUCAGUUGUGAAAGUUUGCGGCUCAACCGUAAAAUUGCAAUUGAUACUGGGAGUCAUGAGUACAGUUGGGGUAAGGGGGAAUCGUGGUGUAAGGGUUGAAUGCUU
rnacentral:rRNA from 1 species